rnacentral:rRNA from 1 species
CCUCUGCAAUGCGGGAAACCGUGACAGGGGGAUCCCAAGUGCUCAUGCAUUGCAUGGGCUGUUCUUUGGUCUAAGUAACCAGAGGAGUAAGGGCUGGGCAAGACCGGUGCCAGCCGCCGCGGUAAUACCGGCAGCUCAAGUGGUAGCCGCGAUUAUUGGGCCUAAAACGUUCGUAGCCGGAUAAGUAAGUCUUUGGUUAAAUCCUGCGACUCAACCGUGGGAAUUCUAGAGAUACUGCUUGUCUUGAGACCGGGAGAGGUUGGAGGUACUCCUAGGGUAGGGGUGAAAUCCUGUAAUCCUAGGGGGACCACCUGUGGCGAAGGCGUCCAACUGGAACGGGUCUGACGGUGAGGGACGAAACCUAGGGGAGCGAGCCGGAUUAGAUACCCGUGUAGUCC